rnacentral:lncRNA from 1 species
AUUAACUUAGUGUUAAUACACUAUUUGGUACCUGAAUUUGUAACACCCCCUAACCCCAAACCGUCGCCGGAACAGGGCUACGAGGCAUUACCGGACAUAUCAAACAAUUUACAAAUAAUUCUAAAUAAAUAACCAACAUAUUAAAAUACUUCAUAAAUUGUUAUAAAUUUGUACUAAUUGAUUUCAUUCAUUUUUUUUUAAAAUUUCGGCAGCAUUUCGACUUAUUUUUACGUUAAACCCCCUGCAAAAUUUCAAACAUAACCAACCCAAUUUCAGUAUUUCAACCAAGGCAUUUAUAUACUUAAUCCUACUUGACAUAUAGACAUAACAACUUAAGUAAAUAAAAUCCUAUUAUCAUUUCUAAUUAACACAUAAAACUAACUAAGCCAUUUCAACUUGAUACCAAUGCUAAAAAAAACUUAUACCAUUUUUCUAAUAUAAUCAUCAAAACACAUAAUAUCUUACUUUACAACAAAACUAUAUAACAUGCCAAAAUAACUAUUAUAAAUCCUAUGUACAUGCCACUUUCUCUUAAAGGAAGAAAACAUCACCAAAAUCUUUAUGUCGGAGUCGGGGUUGUCCUCGAUGCUGAACCGAGAUACUAACCCCUUUUCAACCUGCGCACAGAAACAACCGUACGCUGAGUAUUUUAUACUCAGUGGUAUUACUAUAAAUUAAACUAUUUAAUAAUAAUAAAAUUUCAAAUAUUGACCAUAGUCUUUAAAAAAAAUCACUUUAAACUAAAUAUAAAUAUUCAUAUAUCAUUCCAUAAAUCUGAAAUUUAUAUAUUUAAAUAUUUACAUACUAAAUCAAUUCAUAAUUUAUAUCAUACAUUCUUUCUCAUAUUUUUCAAUAGUGUCAAAUCAACUAAUCUCAUUUUUAAAUUUCCAUUUUAAUUAUUUACCCUAUUAACAAGGCUCGGACUCUGACAGAUACGCGGAUUCCACCCAAACACACCAAAAUAUCCAACCUAAACACACCCGAAAUAAUUUAAAUCCUCCAUAACACACCAGUAUAUCAUAACCUCCCAAACACACCAAUAAGGCAUUUAAUGCCUCUUCGGAUAAACCGAAGCAUUUAAUAACAUAGUCAUCUUCUCGGCCGAACUACAAAUCUCCUCAUCACAUCACAAAUCCUAUGGCAUGCCAUUUGUAUCCAAUCUAAUUCGAUAAGUUAAUAGGGUAUUAUUUUACUUUUCCUAUUUCGAAUUCAUUUCCACAACAAUUUCAAAUAUUCAAUCAAUACAAAACAUCUAUUAUUUCAAUUCACAUAUAAUUCAAUAUACACAUAUUCUUACUUAAUUUCAAAUGUUAAUACUUACCUUCCUUUAAAUGUCUCAUGAAUACAAUUUCAAUAUAGCAUUUAUUAAAUAGAUUAAGUUAUAGUAAUACAAACCCGGAAUACGCGUUUACUUCUCAACGAUCUUUUCUUUUCCUUUAGAUGCCGAUGCCUCGUUUUCCUUGUUAGCUACGAAAAUAAUAAUUAUUUUCACUUUUAAUUAUAAUCAUUAAAAUAAUAAUAAUAAUUAUAUUAACAAUAAUAAUAAUAAAAUUUUUAUUCAAUUCCUACUUAUUCCCAAUUUAAUUCUAACUAAGCUUACUUAUUUUUCUAACUUAAUUCACACUCUAUUUCUAUUCAAAUUCCUUCUAAAUCCAAAUUUAUCUACUAAUUUUUCAGCAUUUUUCACUAAUUUCGAAUUUUCCUCAAUUUAAUCCCUAAAAUUCAAAACUUAUAGUUUAGUUCACAAUUUAAUCCUUUUAUCAACUCUAACUAGAAACUCUAUCAAAUAAACCCUCAAUUCCAUCAUUUAUUCAACAUAAACCCUAAUUUAAGGCUUUUUAUAACUUAAUCCCAAUUAUGUAAAACUUACAACUUAGUUCACAAAUCAUUCUUUUUAUCUAUUCUAACUAAAAAUUCUAUCAACUAAACCCCUAAUUUAACAACUUGUUCAAAAUGAAUCAUGUUCAAAAACCUAUGAACUUCCAUAACCUCCACUUAACUUCAACAAAAUUUUGUUUUAAAGCUUUUAAAAUAUCAAAAUGAAGAGGAAAGGGCUAAAUUUAGCUUACCAAUUAACUUGAAGCUUUAAAUCCUUAGUUUUCCCUUUUAUUUUUCUUUCCCCUUUUUCUUCCCCUGUUUUCGUCUCUUUCCCUGCUUCUUUUCUAGCUAUUCUGUUUCUUUUCUUCUUUGUUUCUUUCUUUCUUGUACUUUAUAUCUUUU